rnacentral:rRNA from 1 species
UACGUAGGGUGCGAGCGUUGUCCGGAAUUAUUGGGCGUAAAGAGCUUGUAGGCGGUUUGUCGCGUCUGCUGUGAAAUCUCAAGGCUCAACCUUGAGCUUGCAGUGGGUACGGGCAGACUAGAGUGUGGUAGGGGAGACUGGAAUUCCCGGUGUAGCGGUGAAAUGCGCAGAUAUCGGGAAGAACACCUAUGGCGAAGGCAGCUCUCUGGGACGGUACUGACGCUGAGACGCGAAAGCGUGGGAGCGAACAGG